rnacentral:rRNA from 1 species
CACGUAGUUAGCCGGGGCUUCCUCCUCAAGUACCGUCAUUAUCUUCCUUGAGGACAGAGCUUUACGACCCGAAGGCCUUCAUCGCUCACGCGGCGUCGCUGCAUCAGGCUUUCGCCCAUUGUGCAAUAUUCCCCACUGCUGCCUCCCGUAGGAGUUUGGACCGUGUCUCAGUUCCAAUGUGGCCGAUCACCCUCUCAGGUCGGCUACUGAUCGUCGCCUUGGUAAGCCGUUACCUUACCAACUAGCUAAUCAGACGCGGGUCCAUCCUGUACCGCAAAAGCUUUGAUACUUCUACCAUGCGAUAAAAGUAUUUUAUCUCGUAUUAGCAUACCUUUCGGUAUGUUAUCCGUGUGUACAGGGCAGGUUACCCACGCGUUACUCACCCGUCCGCCGCUCUUUACCGAAGUAAAUCGCUCGACUUGCAUGUGUUAGGCACGCCGCCAGCGUUCAUCCUGAGCCAGGAUCAAACUCU